UCUCCCAUGUUCUAGUGGUUGGGAUCCUGGCUUUCACCCAGGCGGCCCGGGUUCGAUUCCCGGCAUGGGAAAU